UUUUUUUUUUAAUGCGGUCACACACCAAGGAGGGCAGCGGGGGAGAAAAUUCCCCUUCUGGCGGGGGGGAGGCGGGAAAAAAAAAUAACAUUCCGGAGGUCUUUUUUUUUUUGUUAAUAGAAAGAGUACCAAUUAAAUUCCAUUAAGGAGGUUUUUUGGGAGGGAAAGUGGGUUGCCAGCAGCGGUGUUAAUUCUUCCUCGAGGGUUUAUAUAUGUGGUUGCGGCAGUGAAAAAGUUGGUAGUGGGGGGUGAGUUGUUUGGGGGGGGGGUGGGGUUGGGGUUUGUCUCCCCACCCGAAAAAAUCACACUUGUGUGGUGCCCCCCCCCCUUCUACUUUUUUUUGUUCAAGAAGGGGGGGGUUUCUCCCCUCCACCAUUGGAAGUUGUUAUUUGGAAAAAUUAGGAGUGUUAAAAGCAGACGAAAAUCUUUCGUCUUGAAAGUUGUAGCAUGGAAUAACGUGAUAGGACUCCGGUGGCCCUUUUCAGUUGGUAUAAGCCGUUCCGGAGUAAUGAAUAAGAGGGACAGUCGGGGGCACUAGUACUUCCUUGUCAGAGGUGAAAUUCUUGGAUUUAGGAAAGACGAACCACUGCGAAAGCAUUUGCCAAGGAUGUUUUCAUUAAUCAAGAAAGAAAGUUGGGGGGUAGAAGAUGAUCAGAGACCGUUGUAGUCUUAUUGACUGUAAACGAUGCCGACUGGGGAUGGGGGGAAAGAUUUUUGGCUUAUGGGAGGGAAUUUCAACAACCUACCCCAUCGCCCUCCCAGGCACCUCCGCACUCGCUAUGCUA
rnacentral:rRNA from 1 species